rnacentral:rRNA from 1 species
CGCGGAGUUAGCCGGGGCUUCUUCUGCUGGUACCGUCAUUAUCUUCCCAGCUGAAAGAGCUUUACAACCCUAAGGCCUUCAUCACUCACGCGGCAUGGCUAGAUCAGGGUUGCCCCCAUUGUCUAAGAUUCCCCACUGCUGCCUCCCGUAGGAGUCUGGGCCGUGUCUCAGUCCCAGUGUGGCUGAUCAUCCUCUCAAACCAGCUAUGGAUCGUCGGCUUGGUAGGCCAUUACCCCACCAACUACCUAAUCCAACGCGGGCUAAUCCUUCCCCGAUAAAUCUUUCCCCCUAAGGGCGUAUACGGUAUUACUCUCAGUUUCCCGAGGCUAUUCCGUAGAGAAGGGCAUAUUCCCACGCGUUACUCACCCGUCCGCCGCUCCCCCGAAAGGGCGCUCGACUUGCAUGUGUUAGGCCUGCCGCCAGCGUUCGUUCUGUAGCCAGGAUCAAACUACU